UUCACUGGACUCUGCGGCUCUUCCUGCACAACCCUCCUUCCUCCUCCAUCUCCUCUCUCCUUUUACAGGGGUCAGACCUGCAUCCCACUUGGCAGACCCCCCUGCCUGUCCCUGCUCCUUCUCCCCCCUUUCUUCACAGGAGUCUUCCCCAUAGAUCUUUUGCAUAUCAAACUCGAUUUUGGUAUCUGCUUCUCCGAGGACCUGAACCGACACAGUGAUCUGUGCCUCUUCGUGACAAAUCAGGGUGCCUGAGAAUGGCGUCCCCUCUCAGAUGUGACUCGACUUCCGCUUUCAAGGCAGAAUUCACCAGCUGGAGAGGAGCUGAGGGAAAAAAAAUAUGAAGAAGAACAUAAUCUACAAUCAAUCAUGGGGCUUGUGAGGGCAUCCUGAAGGCUAAACAUGGUUGGAUCACCUGUAAACUCCUGGGCAAGAUGAGGCUUGGGUGAGCACCAUCAGUGACUGAUGAGUAUAAUACUUUAACAGUUCUCUCAGUCAUUCAACUGUUUUUGUUUUGUUUCCUUUUGUUUUCUUGUGCAAUAAGGAAAGUGUUUGCUAAAACUGAUGUAUUUCAAGUGUUUCAAAUUGUCCUACACAAUCAUCAUUCCACAGAGGAAACUCUACAUCCAGAAACGAUAUUAGUGAGUUGGAAUUAAUUUAUGUAUUGUAGGUUUCCCAUGGGUUCUCAUUAGCACUUUUUUCUUUUUACUCAUCCUUGAGUAUGGAGAGUUCUAGCUUGGACUGUUAGUAUAAAAAUUGAACUAAUCACAAUGCCUAAAUGGGACUGAUAAUGAAAAUCUAUAUAACCUAGUUAUAACUGGGUAAAGAGAGGAUUAUACAGUAGGAAAGUAAAAUUCAGGGAUCCCAAGGAGUAUCUGGCAGCAUAAUUUUACCAGUCCAGUUUAUCAAUAACCAUCAUACAAUAGAAGGGAGCUAAUUCCAUGAAUAGAUCCAAUAGGCAAAGUUUUUCUAUGAACAUUUUUCUAUAUAGCAUUUUUUUAAAUUUAUUUUACACUUGAUCUCUACUCAAGGUGACCAUGGAAUGAAAAGGGUCUACUUCAGAAAUAUCUGUGAAGAUGUCGCCUUGAUUCCAGAAAGUGUCCCCCCAAUUCAGAAUGAACUUAUCUGCCAUUCUGAUGAAGUAUUAGACCAGAGUGAAUCUAUAUUGUCAUCUAAAUUUAAUUUUGCUGUGUUCACCUGCAUUUUGCUUCUUGUGUGUACCUUUGCGGAUUAAUGAAGGACACCUUCAAGUCAGAACAGGGGUGUUUUUGUAUUAGGAAUCCACAUGAACUGGCCAUUUUCAAUCUAUCACUAUGGCCUCUAGAAAUUUUUAUUCUGUUGAUCUACAAUGAAGGAUCAACAACUGGAACAGUGCUUGUCUCACACUGCCAUUAUCCCUUGCCCCCCAAAUUGGAAGAUGCUAAGGGAGUUUGUUGAACUUUUUUCUUGUUGCUUCUGGCAAUAGGGCAUGGGAAUGAUUUUUCAUUCUUUUGGCCCCCCUAUAAGGGAUUAUCUGUAUGGAUGACACCUCUGGAGUCAUGCAGUGCAAUGUUUGCAUGGCUGUAUAUGGCCCCAUGACCUUCUUUCAUUUGUUUCCUCUGUAAUAUUUGAUCAAUAUUGCUCUAAGCUCACAUAUGUUUUCUAGUAUAAUUGCUGAUAAUGCUUUUCCCUACUAUUAUUUUUCUUUGGACAUUUGUUAAUUCUCUUGGAAGACAGUCUGGCUAGUUCCUGAAAGGACACAACCCUAUCUCUCACCUUCUGUCUUCUAAUGUCUCCUGGCCAACUCCCACUGUCAUGAUGCCAUGAUUUUACUGGUUUCUGUGUGCUGAUAUUUCCCCUGAGACUCUGGCCCAAGUGUUGAAGAAAAAAAAGACACUUUGUAGUAGACAUUUCUUAUUUAUACAGAUCCAGAAUUUGUUCUUCUUUGGUCUGAAUUAGCACAUUGCUUUUCCUCUGGGGAACCACUCCUGGGCCUCUGUGUGGUCUGGUGGGACAUCCUGAGUGCCCUCCCUCAGCCCUUACUGGUGCCGGUGACCUAGGUGACCAGUCAGAAUCUAUCACCCCCAUGGCAAUGGCUAUUGGUUCAAGGUUAAAUACAUCACUCAAAUGGAAUAAGUCAGGUUUGGCCCUGAGAGUUGAUUUGGUCUCUGGGAUAAAAAAUUCACUCUUAUAUUCAGAAACCAUGAGCAAUA